rnacentral:rRNA from 1 species
GACGAACGCUGGCGGCGUGCCUAAUACAUGCAAGUAGAACGCUGAAGGAGGAGCUUGCUUCUCUGGAUGAGUUGCGAACGGGUGAGUAACGCGUAGGUAACCUGCCUGGUAGUGGGGGAUAACUAUUGGAAACGAUAGCUAAUACCGCAUAAUAGCAGUUGUGGCAUGAUAACUGUUUGAAAGGUGCAAUUGCACCGCUACCAGAUGGACCUGCGUUGUAUUAGCUAGUUGGUGGGGUAACGGCUCACCAAGGCGACGAUACAUAGCCGACCUGAGAGGGGGAUCGGCCACACUGGGACUGAGACACGGCCCAGACUCCUACGGGAGGCAGCAGUAGGGAAUCUUCGGCAAUGGACGGAAGUCUGACCGAGCAACGCCGCGUGAGUGAAGAAGGUUUUCGGAUCGUAAAGCUCUGUUGUAAGAGAAGAACGAGUGUGAGAGUGGAAAGUUCACACUGUGACGGUAUCUUACCAGAAAGGGACGGCUAACUACGUG